AGGAGACGGAGGUGACGAAAGGGAAGAUGGAAGUGACUCUUAACUUCCAGGCUGCCAGAGACGAACUGAACAGACCAAGAAGACCACUGCCAAUAGACCUCCACCGACGAGGUAGCCGAGCUGGUGGACGAGGUGGAGAACAUGAGGCUCCAGCUGACCACACAGGCGGAGAUAAAGAACGCCUCGCAGGACCAGCUGGCGAUUGACCCCAACGCCUCCAGGCAAACGCUCCUUCAGGUCAAAGCCCAACCCAGCUGGCAGAGAAGGAACUUGAGAAGAAGUUCACAGACGGAGCUUAUCAGAACAUGAAGAAGAUGUUGAACAAGAAAAAUGAACAGAUUAAGGUCAUGAGGAAAAAGUUGGUGGCUUACGAACCUGACAAUGGUGAAGUUAUCGAGGACUGAGGAAGUGAACAAACUGCAAAUGUCUUAAUGUUGAUGACAAUUGAUCGAUGCCAGAAUUUCUCAUUUCCAAAACAGGAAAAUGACAAAAUGAAUAUGAAACCCCAGAGAUGUUUUAGAAUUUCUUGUGUUUAUAUUCUAGCUUCCUUGUACUGUAGGUCGACUGAGACCGACCCAUAACCAGAUAGAGUAUAAUUACAUUAUAUUGCAGAAAACUAGUCGUCACUCUAGCUAACAUUUAAAGAAGAUGUCUUUGAAGCUUGAUGCUAAAUUAUACGUUUUUUGCAAACUCAGGCAUGACCUACACUGGUUCUCUGUCUGAAUUAAGUAUUGUAGCAUAAACUAAUUUUGUUUUGGCCUCUAUGAACAUUAAAAGUCAAGAAUAUGAGAGAUUGACAAUAUUAUGCUUUCAAUAAUCAAAAGGAAAAUGUAUAGAUGUAUAGUAGCAAAUAUUUCUAUGUGAAUUCAACUGCUACCGCAUAUCAGUCAGUAUAUCAUGGCGAACGUACCAUUACUGUAUUCAUUAUUCUGCUGCAUAUAUGUAAAUUAGUCUAUGAUAUUAGAAUUAAAAAUAUUUACUUACUCAAAAAAUGUGUAUA
rnacentral:lncRNA from 1 species